AAUGAACGCUGGCGGCGCGCCUAAUACAUGCAAGUCGAGCGAGAAGACGUAGCAAUACGUUUGUAAAGCGGCGAACGGGUGAGGAAUACAUGGGUAACCUACCCUCGAGUGGGGAAUAACUAGCCGAAAGGUUAGCUAAUACCGCGUACGCUUCUUGGACUUCGGUUCAGGGAGGAAAGCGAUGCCGAGGGUAUCGCGCUCUUGGAUGGGCUCAUGUCCUAUCAGCUUGNGGUGAGGUAACGGCUCACCAAGGCUUCGACGGGUAGCUGGUCUGAGAGGACGAUCAGCCACACUGGCACUGCGACACGGGCCAGACUCCUACGGGAGGCAGCAGUAAGGAAUAUUGCGCAAUGGGCGAAAGCCUGACGCAGCGACGCCGCGUGGGGGAUGAAGGUCUUCGGAUUGUAAACCCCUUUCGGGAGGGAAGAUGGAAUGGGGUAACCCAUUCGGACGGUACCUCCAGAAGCAGCCACGGCUAACUUCGUGCCAGCAGC
rnacentral:rRNA from 1 species